CCCUUAGAUGUUCUGGGCCGCACGCGCGCUACACUGAUUCAUGCAACAAGUUUUGUCCUUGGCUGAUAGGCCUGGGUAAUCUUUGAACGUGAAUCGUGAUGGGGAUAGAUGAUUGCAAUUAUUCAUCUUCAACGAGGAAUUCCUAGUAAACGCAAGUCAUCAGCUUGCAUUGAUUACGUCCCUGCCCUUUGUACACACCGCCCGUCGCACCUACCGAUUGAAUGGUCCGGUGAAAUCUUCGGAUCUGAGAGAUGUCUGAUUAAUUUCGGACGCCUUUUGGAAAAGUUGUUUAAACCUUACCAUUUAGAGGAAGGUAAAGUCGUAACA
rnacentral:rRNA from 1 species